AUUGAACGCUGGCGGCAUGCCUUACACAUGCAAGUCGAACGGCAGCACGGGAGCAAUCCUGGUGGCGAGUGGCGAACGGGUGAGUAAUACAUCGGAACGUGCCCAAUCGUGGGGGAUAACGCAGCGAAAGCUGUGCUAAUACCGCAUACGAUCUACGGAUGAAAGCAGGGGACCGCAAGGCCUUGCGCGAAUGGAGCGGCCGAUGGCAGAUUAGGUAGUUGGUGGGGUAAAGGCUCACCAAGCCAACGAUCUGUAGCUGGUCUGAGAGGACGACCAGCCACACUGGGACUGAGACACGGCCCAGACUCCUACGGGAGGCAGCAGUGGGGAAUGUUGGACAAUGGGCGCAAGCCUGAUCCAGCCAUGCCGCGUGCAGGAUGAAGGCCUUCGGGUUGUAAACUGCUUUUGUACGGAACGAAACGGCCCUUUCUAAUAAAGAGGGCUAAUGACGGUACCGUAAGAAUAAGCACCGGCUAACUACGUG
rnacentral:rRNA from 1 species